UUUCGUUUGUUUGCUUCAGCCUCAAGUUUGUAUUCAGAAAGAGAUGCACCAAGAGAUUGGCACUGCUUGUUGGGUUCAUGAAUCUCUUUCACUGUUUUUUCGAGGAUCCGCAUUAGAGAUGUUAGGGAACCACUGGGGUCACAAGUGUCAACUAUGUUCUAACUUUGCUUUUGUCUUAAAACAGUUUUAAAAGCCCAUUUUUUUCUCAGAAACUUCCCUCACACAGAAGUACAAUGAGGUUGCCUCUGGUCUUUUGUAAGUUCAGCUCAAAACAUGAGGAUAUCCAAAAAUGCUCACUAUUUUUUGUCACUUAUAUUAGAAUGAAACUAAUAUGUUGCAUAGAUUUAUUACAGGUUGAAAUAUUUCAAGUUUUUACUUCUAGUAAAUCAGAAGCCAUAAUCUUACUGAAUGCAUGAAUUACUACAUUGAUGUUGCAUUGAGGUGAUUAACCUGUGGUACUGCUGAGGAGUGGUGAAAGUUAGUGGUGAUUUUUAUUAUCUGAUCAUUAGCAUAAUAAACAACAAAUAAAGCCCUGAUGUAUUUCACUCUGUGUUCAAUGAAGUGAUGAGUUUCAGAUUCUGAUUCAGAUAUAAGCUCGGUUUGGCAGGAACGACCACAAAUUUGACUGUCUGGGAGUCGCCAUUGAGAUGUACCAGCGAGACUCUAAGGCAGGCAUAAAACAAGCAUUAUCUGAACUGGUUCCCCCUUUACUGCCGCUAGAUGGCUGGCUAUCUCAAAUUCUCUUGGAUGUCAUGUGAACAAGUUGCUCUGGUCGCACUCCCGUACCCUUCCCAUGACAUCUGUGGAUCUGACCCAAAGCGCUAGCAAGCAAACAAACAGGCUCUUGCUGUUUGUUUGCCUUUUCUUUGGAUGGGCUGUACUGAAACGAAAUUUUGUUGUGCUUCUGUACAAUGACAUUAAAGGCAUUCUGAUUCUGAAAUAAGUGACAAAAGGAUCAAAUGCAGUCAGAAUUUUGAAUUUAUUUAAAUUUAUUGUUUUUUUACUUGUAAGUAAUUUGAUCUUUUAUAGCAGAAAGACUAGAAAAUGUACAGUGCUAAUCCAAUAUUCUGGUUGAUAUACCUACAUUUAACUAAAAUAAGUAAAAAAUUUGUAGCACUUUCUUUUGUUUGUUUCAGUUGUGAAGUCUAACUACAGUUAACAGAAUAAGUUUUUGGCAGUUUUGUUUAUUAUAGUUUGGUUCCACUGCUUUUUACAUAUUAAGUCGUUAAUUCAAAAAUUCAAAAACACUUUCUUGAUCCCAAAGGGAAAGUCAAUAAAUAAAAUGACCUCAGAGAAUGAAUUUUCUGCACAAACCUGACAUGAUUGAUUUAUUUUUUUUCCCACUCC